UCUACAUGUUGGGGUACAGUGCUGAAAAACACAAAAUCAUUCAAUAAUGAUGUGACUUCUUAUUACUUCCCCAGAUUUCCACCCCAAAUCUUUGUCUGACAUCUCAAUGGGUUAUAGGCUGGCCCACAGUGGAUACAUGAAAAUAUAAAGGCCUAUAUUAAUGUAUAUAAGAAAAUUGGUAUCUUCUCAGCUACAGAAAUACCCUAGGAUGCUUUGCUAGGGAAAUUCCAUGUCAAGUCGUGUCCUAAGAACAAAAUAAACCUUAGAGGGUAUGACAGUUGUCCUUCAGAUUUACAAGGGCCACCUGAGACUGGCAGGUACCUUAUAAAUGAGGUCAGGAUUGAGGACCUACUUCUGACUUGUGGAAGGAGGCCAUGAAAACAUUUACCCCAGUUCAGUCCCUGCCCACCAGGGGGAGUGGCUUCCUAACACAAACUCAUUUCCUAUGUGAAUUGUAUGUUUAGAUUUAACAUUUCACUGUGACUUCAACAUUUCUUCCUGUUAAGAAUCAAGAACAUUGUUUAGGCAACACUCUAAAGAUGAAUUCUUCUCCAGGAUUAGUGACCGUGAUAUUCUUACUGUUUGGAAGAACCUGUGGAAACACAGUGACCCAGGAAGAAGGCCAAGUGACCCUCUCAGAAGAGGCUUUCCUGACUAUAAACUGCACUUACACAUCCACAGGGUACCCUACCCUUUUCUGGUAUGUCCAAUAUCCAGGUGAAGGUCCACAGCUCCUCCUGACAGCCGCGAAGGCCAAUGAUAAGGGAAUCAACAAAGGUUUUGAAGCCACAUACAAGAGAGAAACCACCUCCUUCCACUUGCAGAAAGCCUCGGUCCAUGAGUCAGAUUCAGCUGUGUACUACUGUGCUCUGAGUGACACAGUGACAGGAGCUGCAGGGGGAGCUGAGCACAAACUCUGA